UACGGAGGGUGCAAGCGUUAUCCGGAUUUACUGGGUUUAAAGGGUGUGUAGGCGGACUUUUAAGUCAGGGGUGAAAUCCCGAGGCUCAACCUCGGAACUGCCUUUGAUACUAUUGGUCUUGAAUCUUGUUGAGGUGGGCGGAACGGGUCAUGUAGCGGUGAAAUGCAUAGAUAUGACCCGGAACACCGAUUGCGAAGGCAGCCCGCUAAGCAAGCAUUGACGCUCAUGCACGAAAGCGUGGGGAGCAAACAGG
rnacentral:rRNA from 1 species